rnacentral:rRNA from 1 species
GUGAAAUUGUUGAAAGGGAAACGCUUGAAGUCAGUCGUGCCGGCGUUGGAUUCAGCUUGCUUCGCGGAGCAGGCGCAUUUCCGCGCAUGGCAGGUCAGCGUCAGUUUUGCGCGGCGUGAAAAGGCUCGGGUAAGGUAGCUCUCUUCGGGGAGUGUUAUAGACCUGGGCAGAUGCGCUGCGCGGGACUGAGGAUUGCAGCGGACACCCCCUCGGGGGCGCGGCGACCGAACCCUGCUCGGCCACCCUCGUUCGAUAGCGUGCUAGCGGACGCGGGAGCGGCAGUGCACCGGAACAGGCAAGCCAGCGGUUCGCUAAGGAUGCUGACGUAAUGGCUUUAAACGAC